rnacentral:tRNA from 1 species
UCGGGGGUCGUCUAAGUGGUAAGACAGCGGCCUUUGGAGCCGCCGAUCCAGGUUCGAGUCCUGGCCCCCGAGCCA